rnacentral:lncRNA from 1 species
AGCAGAGCUGAAUCACUACCUUUCCUGCAUACUCUAAACUGUUGCUUGCGAAAGAGGAACUGGGGACUUCGACUAAUACAGGCUGCUUCCAUUCAAAUGUUCCAGAGGGCAGACACACAUCCAAACAGACUUCUCUUUGCUUUUCAGAGCUUAUAAGGAGCAGGCAUCUGAAGCUCUAUUCCAGAGAUUCUCCUGAACAAGUUACCUGUUGGUGCAAGCUUCAAAAAGGAUACUUAAGUGACCAGUCCUAUUCAUACUGUGAGCCAGGAGAGAUAUGUGGUGUAAAAAGAGACAUUUUCCCCAAUGUUUGCUGACCAGAAGGAAUUGAGAAGGAAAAUCAAUAUCUGUUGAAGAAUCUAAAGAGCCAAAUCUUCUGAGCCUGGGCCUACUGCUGUCAGCAGCUCUGAGACCUCCCUCAUCUGAGAAUUACCAGGUCUGACAACACUUUCCCUCCAGCCUGCAGGGAAGGUCAACAAAGCUACAGAAAACUCUCGUUCUCUAGACUUACAACCCUCCAGCUGUGCAGCUGAGCAGGAACCUUACAAUCUCCAUCCUUAGAGAAGUUUCAGAAAUACAGACAAACGGGGUGAAAACUCACAGAUGCUGAGCCUGAUAUAUACAAAAGCCUUCAGAUAGUCUCCUCACAGAAGAGCCCAAUUAAGUCCACAUAAUUAGUUCAAACAUCUAGAUUAGGUAUAGGUAAAACGAGCCCUUUCUCAGUCUACCAAAACAGAGCAAAAGAUUGACAUAAUACUCUAAAAGAUUAUUGUUCUAAUAACAGUAUUAUAAAGCAGUUUCACCCAUAUUUAUUUUGAUCAGUAUAAAAGUAGGAGUGUAGAAAAUAAAGCUUUGUUUAUAUUUUUAAAAAUUGAUUAAGAAGCUCUGAUGAAACCUAUUGGAGGGGUGAUUGCUGUGCUGAAGUAUAGAGAGGGUGUGGCAAUUGUAAAAUUAUAGCAUUACCAUUUUCUGCUUCUGUGCUAUUGCCUUAGCUCUGAGAGUGACUGGUUUCUAUCAGAUUGUUAGAAUACGUCCAAUAAAUUUAGAGACAGUCUAAGUGACUGUGAAAUGCCUCAAGGGCAAUAGAAAUCAAAUAGAAACACAU